UUCUCGGGUGGCGCUGCUGGAACUUUCUGGAAAUAUCAGCGGCGGUGGUCCGAAGAGGCAGGCUACGGGUAAAAGAAGGAACGCGCGGGCUAGGUUUCCUCGCUUGGGCCGAAUGCGAACGGAGGCAUCUUCGCCCCGGAGCCACUCCUACAGGUCACUCCCUUCCCCAGGGAAGGGCUUUCCGGCGGCGGUGGCGCAGUCAGAGGUGGGGCUGAAGUUGAUUCAUAUUACCAGUCAAAAAUUAUCCAUACUUCUCAGGAGGAAGAAAAGGCCACUCUACAUGAACUGCUACUUCAGACCACCUUGCAGAGCCAGAAG